rnacentral:rRNA from 1 species
AACGAACGCUGGCGGCAGGCCUAACACAUGCAAGUCGAGCGCCCUCGCAAGAGGGAGCGGCGGACGGGUGAGUAACGCGUGGGAAUUUUCCUCAAGGUACGGAACAACUCAGGGAAACUUGGGCUAAUACCGUAUGAUGUCCAGCGACCAAAGAUUUAUCGCCUUGGGAUAAGCCCGCGUCAGAUUAGGUAGUUGGUGGGGUAACGGCCUACCAAGCCUGCGAUCUGUAGCUGGUCNG